rnacentral:tRNA from 1 species
UAGGCGGAAGCCUGUUGGUUUAGGCAUCUAGCUGUUAAUUAGAAUUUUAUGGGAUCGAGGCCCAUCCGUCUAG